rnacentral:misc_RNA from 1 species
AAAGAGGAAUGGCUGGCAAGAAAUAUGUAGGGGUAUAAAUAAAUCACUGAACCUAAUUCUUAAAGCAGAAAACAAGUUGAACCUGUAGAAGUGGUUAUGUUAAUCAGUAGCAGUAGUAACCUAGCAUCGCCAUUUCAUGAUUUGAAUUGGAACGUCAGAUGGAAAACAACAAAUUAAGUGUGAUCUUUAUGCAAUAUUUGUCAAGCUUGGAUACUAAAUGCAUAUUUUCACAAGUCUUCAGCACUAGUUCCAAGUUUGGUACAUUUCAUAAUGGUUCUUGGUUAGUACUUGCUGCAAUCAACGUCGGAGAUGGUGAAAUUAGACCAUUUUAGAAGGA